CCUACGGGAGGCAGCAGUGGGGAAUUUUGGACAAUGGGCGCAGGCCUGAUCCAGCCAUGCCGCGUGAGUGAAGAAGGCCUUCGGGUUGUAAAGCUCUUUCAGUUGGGAAGAAACGAUUGCAACUAAUAAUUGUAAUUAAUGACGGUACCGACAGAAGAAGCACCGGCUAACUACGUGCCAGCAGCCGCGGUAAUACGUAGGGUGCGAGCGUUAAUCGGAAUUACUGGGCGUAAAGGGUGCGCAGGCGGUUUUGUAAGUCAGAUGUGAAAUCCCCGGGCUUAACCUGGGAAUGGCGUUUGAAACUGCAAGGCUAGAGUGUAGCAGAGGGGAGUGGAAUUCCGCGUGUAGCAGUGAAAUGCGUAGAUAUGCGGAGGAACCCGAUGGCGAAGGCAGCUCCCUGGGCUAACACUGACGCUCAUGCACGAAAGCGUGGGGAGCAAACAGGAUUAGAUACCCUGGUAGUCCACGCCCUAAACGAUGUCAACUAGUUGUCGGGCCUAAUUGAGGGUUUGGUAACGUAGCUAACGCGUGAAGUUGACCGCCUGGGGAGUACGAUCGCAAGAUUAAAACUCAAAGGAAUUGACGG
rnacentral:rRNA from 1 species